CGUAGGGGGCAAGCGUUGUCCGGAUUUAUUGGGCGUAAAGCGCUCGCAGGUGGUCCGUCGCGUCGUGCGUGAAAGCCCCCGGCUCAACUGGGGAGUGUCGUGCGAUACGGGCGGGCUGGAGGCCAGUAGGGGGAUGCGGAAUUCCGGGUGUAGUGGUGGAAUGCGUAGAGAUCCGGAGGAACACCAGCGGCGAAGGCGGCAUCCUGGACUGGUCCUGACACUCAUGAGCGAAAGCGUGGGGAGCGAUCCGGAUUAGAUACCCGGGUAGUCCACGCCGUAAACGAUGCGCACUAGGUGUCGGGGGUAUCGACCCCCUCGGUGCCGCAGCUAACGCGAUAAGUGCGCCGCCUGGGGACUACGGCCGCAAGGCUA
rnacentral:rRNA from 1 species